UACAGAGGGGGCAAGCGUUGUUCGGAAUUACUGGGCGUAAAGGGCGCGUAGGCGGCCUUCUAAGUCGAACGUGAAAUCCCUGGGCUCAACCCAGGAACUGCGUCCGAGACUGGGAGGCUAGAAUCCGGGAGAGGGAUGUGGAAUUCCAGGUGUAGCGGUGAAAUGCGUUGAUAUCGCUAGGAACUCCGGUGGCGAAGGCGAGGUGCUGGACCCUUUCUGACGCUGAGGCGCGAAAGCCAGGGGAGCGAACGGG
rnacentral:rRNA from 1 species